AAAAGGAGGAUACACCUGCUGCUGUCAGACCUGCAGACACGUGGACAGGCAGAAACUAGAUGACACUGCAACGUGAUGAACAGGACACCAAAAACAACAAACAGCAAAAGCACGUAGACAUACGAACUGUAAAGGUACUGUUGACCCUAAGUUGUGGGACAGAUGUGAUGGAUCUGAUGGUGAGCACUCCAGUGAGGAUGUUGACAGACGCCCUCCUACUGUGAUUUGUAAAAACCGCAACCUGGCUCCCAAGCCAAGUAAGGAUGAGGAACUUUUCUGCUUGCUUCCACUGUUCGCUGCAGAUGGAGACAGAGAAAGUGUCAGCGCGUCCCUAAUUACAACAGGACUGAUGGAAGGCAUGGAUCUCCAAAGCAGCAAAAGCCAGAAAGCCUGCAAACCUGAGAAAGACAAAUAACUGAUGUAAUGAACAGAAUUCCAAUUUUAUUCAGCAUUUGCUGCUUCUCCACAAUUAUAGUUGUCCAUUGUAUGACCAGCCCCCUACCCAUGGGCAUAUGGCAACAACCACGGGUCUUAUCUGCAGGUGUUAUAGGUCAUCUGGGUUUCAUGCUUGUCAAACUUCUCAGAAAGGUGAUAAAAUUUUUAGAUUUCCAUCCUAGGUGAAGAUCUGAUAAUGGCCAAUCAGCAAAAUGAUUUUUAAUCCACAUUUUGUAAGGUUGAAAUGGUUCUUCCUCUUUACUGUCUACGCCUAUAUUCACCUAUGCUUACAUAUCUGCUCAGGCCCAGACUAUGAGUUUCUCUUCUUUCCUGGUUUCAAUGUGCAAACCUGACAUACAACUUCUGCUUAUGUCAAGUUUCGCUGUCAUAAACUUUACAUUCAAACUGUAGAUCAAAAAGCUCUGCAUGCAUUGUGUACUGCUUUUUGAACUGAAUGCCUCAAACUGUAAUGCAGUGACCCAUUACAGUCAUCAAGUUAACAAUUAAGAGACAUAGAACAAGAUGUGCAGUGUUGUGCGUUAGACCAGAAAACUGUAUUAUUUCAGACAACCAAUUGUUUUCACACACUCUUUCCCACGUUGGAUGUGAAGCACAGGCAAACCAUUAUGCCCUGCUCAAUAGCACUGAGUAAACAGCAGGUGCAUUGUUUGAGCUAUGACGGGACGAAGUUCAGCAUCUGAGCAAACCUGUGCUGUGUAUACUGGCCAAACAGAAGAUGUGAUUGAUGUACAGGUCAUUUGUAGAUCUUAAAGGUAAGUGUGAGGGGCCCUGUUGACAUGAAAUUAUAGUCUUAACUCUUUAGUUCCCUAUUGCUGAUCACUAUUCAGAGUCCUAGAAAAGAAAAAACAACAUUUGAUGAGCCAUGCCAGAGUUUUAUAAAAAAAACCUUAUGUUUUUACAAACAAAUAUGAUGUAGUAUAGCUGCAUCCUGCAUUUGGUAAUGGUUUUUGUACACAUCAUUUUAAUGCUAAGGGUGAAAUGGUGGGUCUAAUUUCAGCCAGUGAAUGCAAUACUUUGUAGUUUAAUCUACAAGUUUUUGACAUAACCAAUAGCCAAUAGUUAGCUAGCUAAUCAAUCAAAUGUAAUGGAAUUAAAAGCUAAGCUAGGUACUUAAUCAUGUUUCACUAUUUGGUUUGAAUAAAGUAUGAACUACUUGUCAGACUUCUGCAUUAAUAUUUUUUAACAUCACUGUCAUCAUGUGACUGUGUGGUCUAUUCAAAUAUAUCUGGUGUCAUAUGUUUUGAAUUCAUCAUUUACAAAGUUCUGUUGUACUUUUUAAAACAAGUAUAUUGUAUGAUACAUCUGAAAAACAAAGUAAGUGUCAGACCAUGUAAAUAGAAUGAGAACAACAAAAACAACAAUAAAUAAGUAGAAAAUGGUAAUAAAUGUUCAUGAGGAAGAGGAAGAGCUUCUGCUUGAUACCCUCAUAUGAGGAGUUUAUAUCACAGCACCCAUAUUAUCAGAAAUCACUUUUCCCAUAAACAGGUAGCGUCAUCCUUCCUUACUUGGCACGGAGCCUGAUGGGAAAGAAACAGAAACAUUUGAUGGAGGCCUGACAUCAUCUCAACCCCCCCCCCAAAAAACUUCAAUGUGAGCAGGUGUGAGCAGAUAAUGUAUCCUUGGGUGGCACACCUAGUCAGAUUCAAUAUUUGUUUACAGUCAUGCUUCAAGGUCUUGCAGGAAACCUAGGAUAAGAUAAGAUAACCUUUAUUAGUCCCACACGUGGGAAAUUUGUUUUGUCACAGCAAAAAGUGGACAGUGUAAAGUUAUAUAGCAAAAAUUAGAGAAC